CAGUCGCCGCGGGAAUACGUAGGGUGCGAGCGUUAAUCGGAAUUACUGGGCGUAAAGCGUGCGCAGGCGGCUUUGCAAGACAGAUGUGAAAUCCCCGGGCUCAACCUGGGAAUGGCGCUUGUGACUGCAAAGCUAGAGUGCGGCAGAGGGGGAUGGAAUUCCGCGUGUAGCAGUGAAAUGCGUAGAUAUGCGGAGGAACACCGAUGGCGAAGGCAAUCCCCUGGGCCUGCACUGACGCUCAUGCACGAAAGCGUGGGGAGCAAACAGGAUUAGAUACCCCGGUAGUCCCUGUCUCUUAUAU
rnacentral:rRNA from 1 species